CUUUGCUGGCGACCGGCGCACGGGUGAGUAACACGUAUCCAACCUGCCUUUACUCGGGGAUAGCCUUUCGAAAGAAAGAUUAAUACCCGAUAGCAUAAUGAUUCCGCAUGGUUUCAUUAUUAAAGGAUUCCGGUAAAGGAUGGGGAUGCGUUCCAUUAGGUUGUUGGUGAGGUAACGGCCCACCAAGCCUUCGAUGGAUAGGGGUUCUGAGAGGAAGGUCCCCCACAUUGGAACUGAGACACGGUCCAAACUCCUACGGGAGGCAGCAUG
rnacentral:rRNA from 1 species